CCUUACUCCACAAUGCAUGAAGACAUUUGCCUUUUAGCAGAGGACAAAAGGGUGGCACUAAUAAUCAUCCCUUUUCACAAGCAACAAACAGUUGAUGGUGGAAUGGAAGCUACAAAUCCAGCAUUUCGAGCUAUUAACCAGAAUGUAUUAGCAAAUUCACCUUGUUCUAUUGGAAUUCUUGUGGAUAGAGGCUUAAGUGCAUCAAGAAUGAACCAAGUUUCUCACCAUAUCGCCGUACUGUUCUUUGGCGGACCAGAUGAUCGCGAAGCAUUAGCGUAUGCAUGGCGAAUGAGUGAACAUCCGAACACCAAUCUCACUGUUCUUCGGUUUCUCCCCGGAGAAGCUGCAAUUGAAGCAACAAGAUCAGAUUCAACCAAAAGCAGGAAUGAUCACAGCAUACUAACAGUAGCAACAGACAGCGACAAGGAAAAGCAACUAGACGAGGAAUAUAUAAAAGAAUUCAGGACAAGAACAACUAAUGAUGAGUCAGUAAUUUACACAGAAAGAGUAGUGAAUCAUGGAGAAGAGACAGUAGCAGCAAUAAGGAGUAUAGAUAAUUCACAUGACUUGUUCAUAGUUGGUAGAGGACAAGGCAACAUUUCCCCGUUGACGGCCGGGCUAACUGACUGGAGCGAAUGCCCG
rnacentral:lncRNA from 1 species